rnacentral:piRNA from 1 species
UGAUAAUGUCCCAGUGACAGUGCCUGUGG